CUCGCGCUUCAGCAGGAGGAGGUGGAAGGGGAGACUGAUUCCGGAGCGCGCGCGGCACCGCGUCAGGUUUGAAAUGUGGGACACGGUUUUUUUUUUUUCCCUUUUACCUCCUGUAACCGGAGGCCGCCAUUGAGACGCGGGCGCGCGCUUGUUCGCUGGUCUAUGGUCGCGGCGGCGUGCAUCUCGAGGCGCGGUCUUUGCUCAGUGUGUGUCGGCGCCGGGAGGCGCUCGGUUUCCCUGGGAUGGCGGAGCGCUAGCUGAGCGGCGGCCCUGGGAUGUAGAGCGGCCGCCUGCCUGGGUCCAUUAAUGAAAGGGGAGCGCCGCCGGCUGUCACCUCCUCUCCUCAGCUCCUCACACCGGGUGUCACCGCCAUAGCAUCGGACACUCUCCAAGGAUUGUAUCGGCUGCACCUCAGCUUCACAUUUUUAUUAUUACUAUUAUUAUUUUUGUUUAUUUUUAUUUUUUUACCUCCCUCUUGCAUACUGUGGUUUAAUUGGACCCCUCAGGACCAUGGCCGACGACGACGUGCUGUUUGAAGAUGUGUAUGAGCUGUGUGAGGUGAUUGGGAAGUAAGUUAUUGCAAUGCUCACAUUAUUACCAUGCAGGAUGCUGUGUGUGAUAGGCAUGGCUGGAUACAGCCCAGCUAGGUGUGUGCAUGCAGUGUGUGCAGCUCCUUCUUGCCCUGGAUCCUCAUUGCAUGUAGUAAUCUCUAUGCAGGGUUAUCUAUUGAGAUCCUGCAAUGCUCACCAUGCCGGCAAGGGUUAAGAAGGCAUUUCCAUUGGCGGUGCCCUGGAUUACCUGUAUUAGAUGCUAUCCCACCCAAUUUCACACCAUUGAUGAUUUUGCAUUAGCUGGCUGUGUGGCCAUAUGGCUCCAGGCAAAGCAAGGCUUAUUCUGUGCUCCCAUCCCAGCUGACAAAUGAGGGGAUGUCAUGGGCACUACAAAGAGUCAAGUCGUUCUGAUUAAGAUGCUAUUUUUUUUCUUCCUUCCUAGGAGGGUCUGCAGGUUUUGACAGCAAGGCUUUUAAUAUUGCACCUUUUUAUAAUAUUUUUUAUUUUGGCAGUAAGGCUGUGCACGGUUCACUUGUGUUGUCAAAAUCGCUGUUUAAUUGAAAGGAGACAAUGUUCUUAGAUUCGCGUUCUGGGGUGCUUUACUUGCAUGAAGGUUCUCUUCGUGGUUUUUUUUUCCCAGUUGCUGUCUAAUCAGUGUUUUCAGACUGGUUCUUGAAAGGAUGCUCAUUUACAAGUUGUUGGAGAUGAAAGGUCCAUUGCUCAGUACCCGGUGUGCAUUUCUACAGUCACUAACACCUCCUACUAAAGGAAGUACCGUAUAUGAUGCUUAAAUUGGCAUCUGAUUUUACAAUUGUAGUGAUCCGUGUGGAAGACGUCUUAUUUUAUACCUAGGCCUCUCUGAUUUGUUAAUGAUAAUCCUUUAUUGCAAGUCCAGCUGUUAGCACGUUUUGUACAUACCGUAAACUGUGUGUGUAUAUAUAUUUUGUAUAGUCAUCCUUAUAUCACAUAAGCAAAACUAUUAUUAUUAUUAUUAUUAUUAUUAUUAUUAUUAUUAGAUGAAUACAGUUUCAGACACCGCAUAUUCUUUAAUUAUGUUUUAUGUAAUGCCUAUUUAAUUUCUUAGGUACAUUUCAUGUGCCUUGUGUGUUAUUGCACGUGACCUGAAUUAUGUUUCUUUUGCUGGUUAGAUGAUUGCUAUCAUAUAUAGGUCCAUGUUAUAAAACUGAGUUGUAACAAAUAUCCUGUGUAUGAUUUAAAGGUCAUCUACCACAAUUUGGUUUGUUUUAAUGCACAGAAAACAUCUUGUUGAAAGUUUCCUUCUUAAUCAUUACUAUCCAACUUUUUAUGCAGUUCAGUAUUAUUGGGUUGAGGCAGACUUAAUUAAAUUACUUAAUAUCCUGUACUCUGUGGUUAAUGUCAGGAAGCAUCUCAAAAACAGUCUUUGGAGCUAACCGAAAAGGCCUGUAAUGUUCAAGUGUUGGCAUUAAUCAUUGGAAUUUUGUUUUUUGUGUGUUUUGAAUCAGGUUUGAAUGAGGCUGUGAUUCUCCAGACUGAUGUAUCUGUUUAAUAAUGUAAAUACAUUGGCUCACUGAGGAAAAUGUGAUUUAAUGCUACUACACAAAUUCAUUUUAUUGCAUAUGAGAAGACUGUCAAAUUUGUAUUAUUAGGCUAGAAAGACAAGUGUGUGUGUAUAUAUAUAUAUAUAUAUAUUCAUUCUACCUUAGUAUGUAUGUGUGGAUUUAGGUUUCACAGCCAUUUGAGUUAUUUCAUGUAUUUUCAUUUUUGUAAAUAACUUUUUAUAGCAAAUUUUCAGUGAAAUACAGUUUGUAUUGCAACAGAAUGGGCUCAAAUAAAAAUACAAUGUAUGUCGCAAAUCACUGUUAUGUAUUUCUUAAAGUAGAGCAAUGUACAAUUGGUUACAUUAUGGUUUUAGUUCUAGCUAUCCUGUGAGGUUGUUGGACAUCAAUGGCUAUGCAACACCCGAAUCAAUCAAAACCUGCAAAAUGUAUUCUUGAUUUAUUUGUUUCUAAAUAUUUGAUAUCUGAAACAGUCUCCUGAUAUUGUGGCUUUAAAAUGCUUUUUUUAUGACCACCUUCCCUAAAAUACAAGUGGGGCAAUAGACAUUUAAGCUGAUUAUGCAUCUGCAUAAGAUCAAAGAGCAAUUGCUUUAUUGUAGCCCUUGAGCAUUUUUGAUUCAUUUUUGUGGUGUGGGCUAUUGUAAUUCAAGUGGGCUUCAGGUGCCACUUUAUUUUGCAACUCUACAAUUCUAAGUGCAGCUGCAUAUCAAAAAAUUAAAGAAAUAGUGAAGGAUCACCAGUCCACUUGUAGAUCUAAAGGCUUCAUUGGCACAGUGAAGCUCUAUUUGGAGCCAAGUUGAUACGGAUUGUGUAGCUUUAUAUAAGAAUCAAGUAAUUAUAUUGCCCUUAGGAAUGCAAUAAAUUCAUAAAGGCGUUCUUUAUUUUUUUACUUAAGAAUAUCGAUACACCAUGCAGGCCUUUUCCUUAGAUUUGUGCUCAAGAGAUCAUGUGAUCAGCCUAUAAACGAUUGCACUAGGACCUUGAAAUCAAAUUUGUGUUUUCUAUCUUUUGUAACCUGUUUCCUAUUAUCUGGCAUGUCAGAUAAUAAAACAGUUUUGCUUUAAUCGUGUUUUGAAACAUGUAAUGUGGUGUGUGUUUUGUAAGUGGUGUUUGUGGGGACUGUGAGUGUUUGCGUGUGGGUUAUUUGUACAAGGGGGAGGUGGCUUCUGUGGGGUCCAGUGGGAACCGGGCUGGCCAGGUGCCGGGCAAGGGCUGGCGCUGCGAUAGCUGCUGUGCGAAUUCCUGUUCACAGGUUGGGAGGAAUUGAUUUGAGAUCACUUCCUCUAAGUGCUGUAAUGUGUUAUUUCAUAAUUGUCCCCCCAUAACCUGCAAUCACCGCUCGGUUUGCACUAGUGGAUGUCUGAAGUCCCACUGGGACUCCUGAUAGGCGGGAGCCCAUUUGCAGCCUUAAGUGCCGUGCAAAGGCACGUUGAGUGCCAUAGGUUGCUGACCCCUGCUCUAUGCAUAUGUGGGACAGCGGUAAUAAACCUAACACAAAUGUACUAUACACAACGUAUGCUGAUGACACCCAUAUAGAUCUCUCCCCUGCUGUCCUGCAACGUGUCACUGCUUGCCUUUCUUCCAUCUAAUUAGAUGUCCUCCCACUUUCUGAAACUCAAUCUCUCUAAAACUGAGCUCCUUGUCUUUCCUCCUCCUAAUAUUGAUCCCCCUCUUUCGCUCUCCCUUCAAGUUAGUGGUAUCCACAUAAGUCCAUCCUUGCAAGCUCGCUGUCUUGGUGUCAUACUUGAUUCUGGCAUCAUAUCCAGUAUAUACAUAAUGCAUAUGUAUGUGUGUGUGUAUGUAUGUAUGUGUCUAUGUAUGUGUGUGUACACACACACACACACACACACACACAAUAUUGGUUGAGGGUACACCCAGAACAUGUUAUUUAAUAGCGAUGAUGCUGGGACUCUAAUGACCAAAGUGUAUACAUAAUGAUCUAUCAUGUAUAAGCUUCGGUCAUUUUAGGCUCUAGCAGCACCUGUAUGUAAUGCAUGUUUUGGGUGUGCUCCUAAAUAAUGCUUCUAGUCACAUUACAGGUAUGUAGGCAAUAGCAAGAUUGCUUUGCUUUAAAAACUACAACAUGGCCUCAGGGGCCAGCAGAUCUAAAAGAAUGGGAACUACUCAGGUGGCCUGCAGUCUCCACAUCUAAAAUACUUUUAUUUAAUGUACACUCUAAUUCAAUGUCUUUAUUUUAAACUGUGCUUUGCCUAUGUGACUGUGAAACAUUUGAUUACAUAUAAGACAAUAAAUAUGUUCUGGAUGAUUUGGAGUUAUGCUUAGUGGCUUCCUAUGCUAUUACAUGAGUCUACAUAUUGUCUGACAUUUGAGCAAAUUACUGCUUCUAAGUGAGGGAGAGUGCUGUUCUUUUGGUCUGCUGAAAUGCUUUACUGGCCUCUGGGCAUUCAACAGAAACUGAUUAGAGGUUGUUUGGCUCUCAAGACACCUAGUCACAAAUCAAAUAUGGUGUAGAAGUCUUUCUAAAGAUAUUGAAAAUAAUGCACUUUUAAAACAAUGUGAGCUAGUGCAAGUUAGUUACUAGAUGCAUUAUAAACCAAUACAGCUUCUAUUCUGGCCCUGUUUAGUUUUACCUUGGUCCUCAACGAUUGUUGGAUUUCCUCUGCAGCAGGCCAAUGACAUCCAGCUUGUGCAGAAGCUGGAUUCUGAUCCUGCUACUCAUCUAUUGGCUUAGAGCAUCAGUUGAGUGCUUUCAGCCAAUGGGUGAGUAGGCACAGAAUUGACAAUAAGACUGAAAUUCUUGUUUUGGCUAGCUAAUGAUGCUUCAGUGGUGCUGCAGAGGUGCAGUUAUACCUCCGGCAGCAUAUGGGAUAAACUAUUAAUGUGCAUGGCUACUUUUUAAAUCACUGAAGAGGUAAGAGGGUUUGGAUUAACCUUUUAAGUAUAAAGUGGUGUUUCCCCCAAAAAUUGUCAGUUUAUCAUUACUUCACCCCAGUGAGCUUUAUUUCAAUGACUGGGAUGAAUAAGGUACGUUUGUGUGUGUUUUUUUUCUUUUCUUUUCUUUAAGUAUUACUCUCUUCUCUUUUGUGUUGUGGGUUCUUCACUGCCCCAUGAUGCUGUGGGCACAUGCCUUGGCACUUGAGCAUUUAUCUGCAAAAUGCAGUGCAUGUACAUUAACUUUUGCCAUUUUUUUCAGCAUUGCUAUAUGCUUUACGUGAGUCAUGCAAACAGUCAAGCAUUUACUCAUCUACAUACUUUGCUUGCCUUUGCCGGUCAAAGCAUAUAAAUGAAAAAGUAAAGAAUUGAAAACUAGCUUGAAAUUAUUGAAUUGAAACUCUACAGAAGUUACUGAAACAGGACCACCUCUAACAUCUCACUUUGAAAAACUAACCUUGACACAGCAGAUGCAUUUUGAAAUAUAGUUUCCCAACAUCUUUAAAGCAGACUUCAGUUACCACUGCUAUAGAAUGUUUUCUUAUGGCUGCAUGGUCAAUAAAGGGUUUAUUGGCUUAGUUGGUCAGUUUAAAAACACAGUUGUAUGUCUCUUGUUUUCACCUCUGUUAUGUUGGCCAAAAUAUUAACUAGUUUUUUACAGCUCUAAAUUAGUAAACCACUUCCAAGCCUUCCCCUUGGCAAUAGAAAUCAUGUUUUUGGAAUACUAACACAAUUGAAAUGUCUGUCAUAAGCAUAGACUCUAUUAUUACCUUUUUCAACCAAAGUAGGCCGGAGCAGCAUCUGGGGCUCAAAGCCGAUCAAAAUAGAUUGUUACAUUUAGUGUACCACCCACAAACCUGGCAUAAUGGCAGUAGCAGCACUAGCAAAGUGGAUUGUGUGUUUUUUUUUUUUUUUUUUUUGUAGCUAAAAUAGCAAUGAAAUAUAUAAUUUUUUGAUAAAUGAUUUUACUUGUUACUUAAGAGUUCAUUAAAAAUUAAUGUUACCCUCUCAUGGAAGGUUAUAUAGCAUAGCUGGCUGUGUUAUUAACUCAUGUUGCUUUACAUUUAAAACGUUUGUCACCUCUUGUCAGUUUGAAUAUUUCAUCCAAAUAAAAUAAUUAUGAAAUACUCACAAUAAUUGCACUGGAAUUAAAUUGAAAUUCAAAAACAAUGAAAAUCUGACAAAAUGGGGAGACUACUUUGACCUAGAGGCAAAAACAAGGUUGACAAAAAAUCUUUGCAAAUUCCAACAGCUAUUGCUAACGGAAAAGAGGGAUCUGCUCUUGCAUCGCAUGACAUGGUCUAUGGAGAAUCCAAUGGGAUCAUCCAUAGAUUGUACUCUUGCACUUGAUUAUAGCAGUGAAACUUGCUCCCGUAGGUGAAAUUUCAGGAACUUAAAGAAAAAACAUGGUGGCACACACAAUUUGUUAAAUAUCUCCCUUAAGUUUUAACCUGUAGCCACUGCAAGCAAAGUGGCAAUGUCCCCCUCGGGCCUUUGCAAAAUAUAGCAGUUACUUUAAAAUCUAGGAAAACUUUCAUAGCCUGCACUCUGAUACCAACUCUUAUAGGCAUGCAUUCCUGCUUAGCACUGAGUUUUCUUAUUGGUUUUACGUUCCCUCAUUCAACAUCCUGGCUUGGUAUCACAACAUUGAUUCACCAUUUGUGGGUGCCAUAUAUGUCUUUAUGGAAUAGCAUUAGGGACCCAACUUACAUACAUUGCAUUAGUUUGGUGGUUCAGUUAUUAUGUAAUGUAUAACAAGUGAAUUCUGCAACGUGCUUUCAUUAGAUCCUUUACAGUAAGCUGCCUCAAUCGCAAACUGUCAGGGCUGCCUGCAGUGAAAGACUGUCUUAUUUGCAGUCAAUAGAGUGGGUCUAAACAAUAUAGCUGUUUAACGAAAGCUGUGACUCAUUUGCCACCGACAUCCUGUACUGAUUUUGGCAUACUCUUCUAGAUUAAGCAGCAGUUGAGUGAUACUUUGAGAUGGCAAGUAAGGAAAAAUUCAACUUAAACGAACUAUGUUAGGAGUACACCUUUUUAUUAUCAAUGCUGUCCUGUCCUAGUCUUCGCCCCCUCCCCCCCAAGGUUUAAAUUGCCCUUUAACCCACAUGUGCUGCUCUCUCUGUGGCUGGCCCUGCUACUUGGCUGAACUUAUCAAUGUUAAUGAUCUCCGCUAAUCCCUUGCUUUCCCAUAGAAAACAAUUGGGAGCCUAGUGCUUAUACACUAGAUGACACCAUCUGAUUGAAAUAGCUAGGCUUUGCUCGGCUUAUCUGCAGAACCGCCUCUAAUGGCUGUCAGAGGCAUUUGCAACAUAAAGACUGCUUUUCCUCAAGAAAUUGUAGGAUCAAAAUGAAACUGAGAUGACGCCCAAACCACUUCAAUGAGAUGACGUGGUAUCGGUGCCUAUAGUGUUCUUUUACAGGGACACUCCAAACUUUAGAAUAAACAUAUUCAUAUAAAUUAUGGAAGCAAUGCGUUAAACAAUAUAACUGUUUACUCUUCUCAGAAUGUGCAUUUUUCCUGCAAAUCUCCAACUUAAUCAGGGCCAGAAAGUUGCAAAGUAUUCUAAGCCAAUCCUGGCCAUUCCUUUAUUCUUAUUGAGAGAUAAAAAGCUAUAACAGGACUUCUGUAAAGUAGGUGGGACUUUUAUGGCAUGUGAACUUUUAUGGACACUGGGGAUCAUUGCCGCCUCUUCUGAUGUAUUUGUCGACCAUAUACACACAUACACUGAUCUGAAAACAUUUAAAAACACUGACAGGUGAAGUGAAUGACACUCAUUAUAGCGUUACAGUGGCACCUGUCAAAGAGUGGGGUAUAUUGGACAACAAGUGAAAAGUCAGUUCUUGAUAUUUGUGUUGGAAGCAGGAAACAAGUAAGAAAAAAGUUUUGAGUGACUUUGACAAGGGCCAAAUAGUAAUGGCUAGACUACAGUUUCAGAGCAUCUCCACAAUGGCAAGUCUUGGCAAUGUUCUGCAGGAAAACCUUGGGUCCUAGCAUUCAUGUAGAUGUUACUUUUGCAUUGUACCAUCUAUCUAGAGAUGGAGACCAUUAUGGCAAUGUUGUUCCCUGAUGGCCGUGGCCUUUUUCAGCAGGAUACACACACUGCAAUAAUUGUUUAGGUAUGGUUUGAGGAACAUAAGGAGUUAAAGGUGUUGCUUUGCCCUCCAAUUUCUAUGGAUCUUAAAAUAAACUUGAGCAUAUGUGGUAUGUGCUAGAACAACAACUUUGAUCCAUGAAGGACCCACGUGGCAAAUUGUAGCGCUUAAAGGAUCUGCUACUAAUGCCAUGGUGCCAGAUACCACAGGUCACGUUCAGAGGUGGGUGUCAUUCAUUGUAAUGCUAAGUAUUUGAUGUGACAACCAGCUUUACUGCCCAAACUGUAAUAUUGGGUAGAGUGUGGGCAUGGAAGGGUUACAUAUGCAAAAUAAAGCAAAACAAAAAGUAUGUAAAAGUUUAUAAACUUGGUCCUAUUGCACUGUUGGGUACGCCUCUCAGCUAGGGGUGUGUCUACACCUUACCCUCCCCUCCCCCUUUUUAGCCACCACUCUCCGUUUCAGAUUAGUCCACUAAUUACAGAAAUGUUGCAAGGUGAAGAGUAGAAGAUCUUCUAAUUGCACACAUGUAAAUCUAUCUGGUAUACUCAAUGCACUUUUCCAGCAUUCUUAGGGUAGGACAGAGGAUGGUUAGAUCAUGUCCACUCUGAAAUGGAUGUGGAAAGCAUAUCAAAGAAGCAGGUAAAUAAGAAACAAUCCCUGGACAUUGAGAAGGCUAUUUGCUAAAUUCUAAAUAUCACUGAAUGGAAAAACUGAGCAAAAAAGAGCUGAUCUGGAAAUAUUCUUUAACUUUGCUAUAGUCACAUCAUGUUUGUUUGUUUAUGCUUCGGUUUUGCCAUUUGAAUUUUGUGAAAAUCUAGUUUGUGAAUUACCCCAAGUGUCUCACCCUAUGCCACUCUAUAGUCUCUCCCUUUGUCUUAGUGUUUGUUUUUGCUGGCUGUAUGUGGUGUUUACUGGCUGCAUGUAUUAUUUUUUUAUCUUUAUACAUUUUAAUAUUUUGAAUUUCUAAAAAAAAAAAAAGUUUAUUAAACCAAGGCUUAAAAGUGGACUUUAAACAAUCCAUAAACCCUCCUCAGACGUAUGUCCCUGUUCACAAAGUAAAGCUCACUCUGUGAGACCUCUGUAAUGUGAAAUUGCAGUGUUAGAAGAGCUCCCUCUCAUUCUGCAACUCCUGAACAGUGUGAUCUGCAGGAAAAAGCCCUGAGCCGAUCACUGGACAGAGGGACAUGCCCAGGAUGUUUGGUGGCAUUAAAGGACCACAAACUCAUUUUCCUGGCACUAUAGUGCCCUGAGGGUGCCCCCAACCCUCAGGGUCCCACUCCCGUGGCGCUGAAGGGAGAGGAAUGGGGUUAAACCCUUACCUUUUUUCCAGUGCUGGGAAUCUCCUCCCUCUUCUGACGUCCCUGCCGCGCGCGCAUUCAGCCAGUCCAUAGGAAAGCAUUCUCAAUGCUUUCCUAUGGACGCUGGCGUCUUCUCACUGUGAAAAUCACAGUGAGAAGCGCCUCUAGCGGCUGUCAAUGGGACAGCCACUAGAGGCUGGAUUAACCCAUAGGUAAACAUAGCAGUUUCUCUGAAACUGCUAUGUUUACAGCAAAAAGGGGUUAAACCUAGAUGGACCUGGCACCCAGAUCACUGCAUUAAGCUGAAGUGGUCUGGGUGCCUAUAGUAGUCCUUUUAAACAAAUAAAAUUUGGUGGGAAAUCCACAUUUUAUUUUAAUUGUUUAAACAAUUAACAGUGCUUAGGGUCAACCUGUCAGGACAUUCACUUUAACAUUUCUUUAUACAUUGAGAAUAUAAUUAAUCAUAAUGAUAGAUUCUGGAUGUUGGGUGGAUGUAUACCUCUUAUGCAGAGAUGAUAGGGCAGAUAUCCCUCCAGUUUUGUGGGUGUUGUAAUAUAACACCACCUUGGUUCUGCCUUCCACCCAUAUUGCCUAUAAUGCAAUCAGCUUUGCUUGGUGACACUUCCCGAAACUAGUCAAUGCUCUGUCAUGAGUCUGACAUGCUGGCUUUAUUACCAGCACAACGGUAUCUUAACAGUGUGGCAUCAGUAUCCAUGCCUAUAUUCCCCCAGCAAACCUGAGAAAAGCUUGCUUUGUAAUUAUCUGACCGAGCACAGCAUCAUGCAGGGAAGCAUUCUCCUACUUUUUCUUGGCACUCUGAUUUUUGGCAGAGGACUAGUGGGGGACAGACCAUAAUUUAAUAAGGAAUUUGUACAAAAUGUAUACAGUUGAAAGCAAUUCUAUUAGCAUGAGAUAUGGUUUUUUACAGAUUUCACAAAGAACACUUUAAACUUACUGGCUAGUCUUUAAGUAUAAACAAAACCAGUGUUCAAAGGCUUUCAUCUAUACCCAAACAAAGAUCCAUACUAGGUGAUUCCGGUCAUGUGACACGAGUAGGCUGAAUUGCAUAUUUUUGAAUCCCUUUACAAUCUGCAAUGUCAUUUCUAGUUUCGAGAAAGUCAUACUUCUGUAGAGCUGAUAUAGCUUCUAUUUAAAGGAACAAACGUGCUUGUAUUCCUAACACGUUAGUGUUCCUUUCCCUAGUAAGAUAGGUCCAUUCAAUUCAAUAAAAAAAAAUAAUUAGGUCAAUUUAAAAUAAACAUGUUUACUUACUUUUCUUUAGCACAGAGGCUCCUUCAGCAGUGCUUACCUCUCUGCCUCUUGCAACGUCAAUGAGGAUGUAUAGAGGAGCGUUAUGUCAACAUGAUGCAUAAAUAUGACGAAAGCGCAUCUAAGAUUUACUAUAGGAAAGCAAUGCUUCCUAAUGGGUCUUCUGCGUCACGUGACUACCUUACUCAGUCCUGCGGAAGCACCUAUAGGUGGAUUUUAUCCUGCAACGUAAACUUUGAAUGUUUAUUUCAUUUUUUUUGAAAACUGCGCUCUUAAUUUUUUUUAUUGUAGGGUUAAACCUAAAGGGCCAAAGAACAAUUGCCACUGCAUUGAGAUGAAUCAUGGAUGAAUUUAAUGGUCCUUUAAUAAGUUUUUGAAGCUGUUAUAAACAUUUUCAAGAUAUAUACAAAAAUUCCCAUAGUCCUUAAAGGAACACCAUAAACAAACUUGUUUUCCUGGCACUAUAGGGUUAUUAGGUGUGUGUGUCUGUCUUACAACCCCUUCAGCCACUUACCUUAAUCCGGUGCUGGUGACCUCUCCUCCCCCUGGCGACGUCUGCUCUGAAUGUGCAUGAGCGGCCAGGACCGAACACAUAUUCAAACUGUCCAUAGGAAAGCAUUAGUCAAUGCUUUCCUAUGGAUGUCCAGCGUGCAUUCAAUGCAAUUUUUGCAUUGAGGAUCGCGAAAGCGGCCUCUAGUGGCUGCCAGGGAGACAGCCACUAGAGGCUGGAUUAAUCCUCAAUGUAAACAUAGCAGUUUUUUUUUUUUUUUUUAACUGUUUUCAGCUGCAAGGUUAAAACUAGGGGGACCUGGCACCCAGACCAGAGGGGGAGAAUGUGGUCUAUACCCACAAAUUUAAAGGAUGCUAGUGGGUGUCUUUUCUCCAAAAAAUGUUUGGCCACUGGCUUGUCUGAUUGCCCAUCUCUAUAUGCCAAUCUUAUGCUAAAGUGGUGGCCCCUAAUACGCUCACAUAAGGGUGUCUCUGUUUUCCCCACGUAAUAUAGGCCACAAGGGCACAUACGUUUGUAAACUACAAAGGGGGUUCUACAAGUGAUUGUGUCUUAUCUCAUAUAUUUUAUUGGUGUGUGGAUGAUUAAAUUUUUUAGAUGGGAUCAUAUGACCACAAGUCACACAGCCUAGACAAUGUAUAAACCCUCGUGUGUUGCUCUUGGCUCUCUUAGAGUAACUGUCCACUGGAUCCGUGUGUACCAACAUGUCACUGAGGUUCUUGUUUCUCCUGAAAUAAAUCAAUGGUGGUUCUUUGAAAACCUUGGGCAGUGUGUCGUCCGAUAAAAUAGAGGAUUAAAGGUCCAAGGAUUAAAGGACCUUAAAGGCAUUUUAUAUUAAAUGGUGAUAUAGUCACCUUUUUAUAAUAAAGCUACACAUUUUUUUCAUUUUUUUCUUUACCUACAAUCUUGGAGUCCUGUUUUACAUCCACUAUACUGGAGCAGCUAGUGGGAUCAACAGCCCCCUAAUAACAGCGGGGGAGGCACCCCUGAGCGCUUUUAACAUCUUUCUCGUGAGUGCAUUUAUUUGUGGCGCACAAUCAUGUAUCUUAAUUGUAUUGCACUAUAUACUGUUUGUUUCCUUUUUAGAUUUACACAGCUGUAUCCCAUAUAUUUUCAUUUUUCUAUAUAAAAUACCUAAACCCUAAAAUUUAACUAAAGGAUGAAACUGACACCUUAAUGACCGUUUAAUGCAUUAUAUAAAUAAUGCUUUCGAAAAAAUAAACUAAAAAUAACUUAAAGUUGCUCAGUUACUUUGCAGGUUUUGCUUUUACAUUAAUUCUUUUUGGUCCCUCUUGCUUUUAGUUUUAUUUUUAAUUCACCAUAGUGUUUUCUUUAUUUUUAUUAUAUUAAUAGGCACUACUUUUUCUCAGAGGAAGCGGAUCUUCUGAAGAUUUUGGCAAUGGGUGUCAAUUUAAAGGACACUCCUGACCAAAUAUAAAUAUAUACAAAUCACUGUUUGGUAAAUAUAACCCAGAGUGAAACAAUUCAUGCCUUUUAAUUAUUCAUUUGUUUUUUCAUUGGGAAUUCAUCUAAUAUGGCCUUCGAAAGCUGCAGUUCUUAUUUGAAACCUUUGCAAGCCCUCCCUUCUUCCCUAGCACAGACUUUCUGUAGUUUUCUAAUCAGUUUCCAACGCAGCUCAAUGAUGUCAUUGCAAGUCAGGUGCUCUGAGCAGCUGUCUGUCUCUCGAGUUAAGCUCCACUAAGCUAAACAAACCAGGAAGUCUCCAUUUAAGAAAUAUUCUACUUCAGAUGCUAAGCUAAUUUAUCAAACAUCUAUUAGUCAAAAGAAUUCCACAGACUGCCUAAACUGUAAACACCUAUAGCAUGGGUGUGAAAUAAUAAUUGCCCACGCUGACCCUGUCAUUGGAUGCAGAGAAGGCAUUUGACAGGGUCAGCUGGGCCUUUGUUAGAGAAUCUUUAUUGUCUUUUGGAUUUUUGGGUGAGAUACUCAGUGCCAUUAUGGCUUUAUACAGUGAUCCCCAAGGUAGAAUUGGGGGCCCCUGGUAUUAAGUCCAGUUGCUUUGAUAUUUUAAAUGGUACCAGGGUUGUCCUUUAUCACCAUUAUUAUAUAUUUUAUCGAUUGAACUCUUAGCAAUAGAUAUAAGAUCUAAAUGGGUUUGGAGAAAAUAACCAAAAAAUGAAGCUAUAUACCGAUGAUGUACUGAUAACUAUUCAGAAUCCCGAGGACUCCAUCGAAUAAUUCCCUUAAUACAUUAUAUAAAGCUUGCCAUUGCUUAAAUAUACAUGAAACUCACUAUAAAAUACUAAAUAGAUAGUAUAGAACACCUCACAAAAUAGCAAAACUGUAUCAUACAGUUCCACCCAACUGCUGGAGAUGGAAUGAACCAAUUGCAGAUUUUAAACAUUUUUGGUUGGAAUGUCCGAUAGUUAGACCUCUCUGGGAGAAACUAAACCAAUAAUUAUCAUCUCUAUUGGAAACAAAGUUUAAACUGACUCCAAGUAUGACUCUAUUACAUGUGGACAUGUGGAUGAUUAAUAAAAAACUUAGACCAAUUACUUUUAACAUCCUAGUGGCUGUUAAAACAUCAAUAGCCAGAAACUGGAAGUCUCCCAAGGUGGAUAACUGGUCCAAGAUUAAUUUCCAAAUUAUUAUGCAAUGUAAAAUGGAAAGGGCUAUUACUAACGUUGCUCCAAAGAAAGGAUACCACUAUACCUAUUGGGAUAGAUGGAUAAAAAUCCUAGACCCAGGACAGUAAAUUUCUUUCUCUUUUUAUUAAAUAUUUUUUUCUCUAGCCAAAUAAUCCUUUUACAACUGGAACAUUUUUUUUUUAAUUUUUUUAUUUACUUAAAAAAAUAAAUUUCGGCACACUCCAUACCAAGCAAAUGUUUAAGUUAGUCUGUAUGUGUAUUUUGCUACUAAAUAAAAAUUGAUGAAAUAUUAAAUAAUUAAAAAGAAAAAACUGGAAGGUGUGUGUGUAUAUCUAUAUCAAAAAAAUGGAAGCUUGGCACUCCUUAUAAAUAAUAAUAAUAAAUAAUCUUGCCUAGGUGCUAUAUCCACUGUCGUCCAACAUAUAGAAAAAAAAUCAGAUCCGGGAUGCACUCACAGGUCUUCAAAUCAGUGAAAAUAGUCCUUUGUUAAUCAAUAAGAUGCAUACAGAAAUUGAUUUGACGUUUCGACCCUGCCGGUCUUCUUUACAUAUAUAUAUUUUUCAUACCAUUAAACCAUGUACCACUUAAUAUAAGACCUGUGAGUGCACCCCUUACUAACUAUAUAUUGUAUAUAUACAAUGUUAAACAAAAAUCUGCACACCAGUCAAGCAAUGAGACUUGCUUUACCCACAGAAAAGCCUUUGCGGUUGUAACAUCACUGCAGAUUUGGGAUUUCUGUGGGAAAAGCAAGUCUUAUGGCUUGACUGGUGUGCAGAUUUUUAACAUUGUAUUAACUAUCCACAGACUUCAGGUGGAAGGGAUUUUCAAUCACAAUUUUUCCCCACCAUAACCUAUUUGGAUUUUGAGAUAUAUCUAUCUAUAUCUAUCUAUCUAUCUAUCUAUAUCUAUCUAUAUCUAUCUAUAUCUAUAUCUAUCUAUCUAUAUCUAUCUAUCUAUAUCUAUCUAUAUCUAUCUAUAUCUAUCUAUCUAUAUCUAUCUAUCUAUAUCUAUCUAUAUCUAUCUAUCUAUCUAUCUAUAUCUAUAUAUCUAUCUAUCUAUCUAUAUCUAUAUCUAUAUCUAUAUCUAUAUCUAUCUAUAUCUAUCUAUCUAUCUAUCUAUAUCUANNNNNNNNNNNNNNNNNNNNNNNNNNNNNNNNNNNNNNNNNNNNNNNNNNNNNNNNNNNNNNNNNNNNNNNNNNNNNNNNNNNNNNNNNNNNNNNNNNNNUCUUUCUCUCUCUCUUUCUCUCUCUCUUCUCUCUCUCUCUUUCUCUCUCUCUCUCUUUCUUUCUCCCUCGGUGACCUCAGUUCUUAUGCUUCCUGGCUGUUGUUUUGGUCACUUUUGAAUGCUGGCGGUGCUUUCACUCUAGUGGCAGCAUGAGACGGAGUCUACAACCCACACAAGUGGCUCAGGUAGUGCAGCUCAUCCAGGAUGGCACAUCAAUGCGACCUGUGGCAAGAAGGUUUGCUGUGUCCAGAGCAUGGAGGCGCUACCAGAAGACAGGCCAGUACAUCAGGAGACGUGGAGGAGGCGUAGGAGGGCAACAACCCAGCAGCAGAACUGCUACCUCUGCUUUUGUGCAAGGAGGAACAGGAGGAGCACUACCAGAGCCCUGCAAAAUGACCUCCAGCAGGCCACAAAUGUGCAUGUGUCUGCUCAAACGGUCAGAAACAGACUCCAUGAGGGUGGUAUGUGGGCCCGACGUCCACAGGUGAGGGUUGUGCUUACAGCCCAACACCAUGCAGGACGUUUGGCAUUUGCCAGAGAACACCAAGAUUGGCAAAUUCACCACUGGCGCCCUGUGCUCGUCACCACAGAUGGGUGGUCCCUGGUAUUGUGCGGCUGUUCGGUUCCUGAACAGUAUAGAGAAAUCACACAAACCAAGCCAUUUAGACCAUAUUUUACAGGUUUCCCUGCAGGGCCCAUAGUCUGUGGGCAGAAGGCUGGCAAGCAGACUGUAGCGGAGGCCUGGUAUUCCCCAGGUUAACUCCACUAAAGAUCCCAGUGAGGCUCAUGAAGAAGUAGUAAAAAUACCAUAAAGUAAUAAUUCCAGCAAGCAAGGUAAUCCACGAAUAUCCCCAUACAGAUCCCAAUGACUGGACGACACACAGCAUCAAGAGCAGAACUGACUUUUAAUUCACACACUUUCCUUAUAAAGCAUUCUCCCCUGCAAGGGAGGGAUUUGCAAUAAUUAUUUGAGUAGCCAAUCAUCCAAGAGUUGCUGCCCACACAUCCCCUCCCCUUAGUGUGACACAUAAUCUCAUUAUACAGGACACAAAUUCCCUUAGUUUCUGGAUGUACCCCUAAACAUAGGGGUACCUCUUUAAAUGUUACAUCCCGUGGUAGCCCUGAUCUGGGUGAAACACAUAUCCAAAAAUCACCCAGAUCGGACCAGGGGUUCGGGAAAUUUAUGGAAGUACUAAAAAGACAGACCGCGCUGAGUUUAACAGCUGAAAAGGGUUCCAUGUGUUUUGGCCCUGCGGUCGGUCACAGAAAAGGGAAUGUAACACACGAAUGGCUUAUUUUAGGAGAGCUGGGGAGGUUUUGGGUAAUUUCCCUUGUUCGUGGGGUUCACACUACCGAACGGGAACCCGUUCGGUAGUUUGUAUACGAAUUGGCGGCAGUGUGGAGGUCUCAGCGGUGUUUGCCUAACCGAGUGUCCGAUUUGGGUUCCAGACACUCGACGGCAAAAACACCGCUGUUCUGGAGUUUAAAAUGGCCGCCGCCACAUGUUCGUUUCCCGAAUGGCGGCCACCCAGAGAACAAAGAACCCACUACACGAACCGCCAAUUAACCGUUUGCAACAUUAUUGCGAUCAGUAAUUGGAGGCACAUUUACCCCUGGGGGGGUCUGAUUGUUCGGUAGUUUCACUCGCAUAAUAACUGGAGUGAUUUUACCGAACAAUCAGGCGAAUGCCACAUACACUUCACAUAUACAAUUCAACCGAACACAUAGACAUAAACGCACUUUUUAGGACAGCCCAAUGCCAUCCGCCACACAGACUCCUCCAGGAGCUUGUGGCAAACUCAUGUGGGAAGCCUAACACCAAAUUCUCCACGAACUUCCACCUACCCCAGCUAGCUAAAUAUAUAAUUAAAAAAUAAAUUAAUAAAAUUUAACCCAUGAGGAUUAAAUUAAAGCUAACCCUCAGGGGUUAAACAAAAAAAUCAGAUCACAGUAAAAUGUAGUCCCUGCCAGUUGCUUACUGUAGUCAGUAAUCAAUUGGCAGCGAAAGGGUUAUUGUUAUUAAAGCAGGGAAAAGGGGGGGGUGGGAUUUAACUUUUUUUUAUUUUAUUUUUAAAACAGGAUGAAGUGAAUCAUCACUGAUCCGUCUCCCUGCACUUCACACUGAACGCGGAAGAGCAGGGAGGCGGAUGCAGCAGGGACAGCGUNNNNNNNNNNNNNNNNNNNNNNNNNNNNNNNNNNNNNNNNNNNNNNNNNNNNNNNNNNNNNNNNNNNNNNNNNNNNNNNNNNNNNNNNNNNNNNNNNNNNGAUCGGGUGCUCCCAGUCUGCUUCGAAUAUCGAGGCAGACCGAAGGAGCAUUAACCUCUCGAUUGCAGCGAUCUGGGGUUAAUUUUAGCGCCCGUCAUGUGUCUUUAAGUGCUUCACCAGCGUGACGGACUUGGUCCGUCAUGCGUCCUUAAGGGGUUAAAUAUAUGCACAUUCUUUUGAGUGAGUAUCUUUGAAAAGCUGAUUUUUAUUUUGUGUUUGGGCAGUGGAAUGUCCCUUGUAAGUUGUAUUUUGUCAUGACAGGUACCCUUUUAUCUUUCAUCAUAAUCUCUUAAAUCCGUUCAGCAAUAGUUUAAUUUAUUAGACUAAAGACAAAAUUGAUCUACUUCCCAUUUGAAUGCCUCCAUAUUAUUUGUUGAAACCUUUACAUCGGGGGUAUUGUUAUACUUGGGAGACUUCGCUGAACACAAAUGAGUGUUUUAAAAAGUAAAACUUAUCACGAUGAGAUCACCAGUAAAAGUGCAGUUUUUGUUUAAAAGAAAAAAUUCAACAAAACCCUGCUAAAUUUGGCCAGCAUUAGUGCCUAAGUGGGUACUACAAAAUACUGGAAAUACACCUUUUUUAAUACCAUGGGUUGUCUACAAUUGAAAAUGGUAUGCCGUGAUGAGGUUAAUUCACAUUCCUGGGCUACCAUAUGGCCUCAAAAGGUAACCUCUACCACUUCAGCUGGAAGGCUAUUCCAUGCAUCCACUACCCUCUCAGUAAAGUAAUACUUCCUGAUAUUAUUUUUAAACCUUUGUCCCUCUAAUUUAUGACUGUCCUCUUGUUGUGGUAGUUUUUCUUCUUUUAAAUAUAGUCUCCUCCUGUACUGUGUUGAUUCCCUUUAUAUAUUUAAAUGUUUCUAUCAUAUCCCCCCUGUCUCGUCUUUCCUCCAAGCUAUACAUGUUGUUUUUAUAAUGUUUUUGAAAGUUACAGGGUCAAAUAUAAGGCUUGAUUUUCCAUUUUUUUCACAUUGAAAUUUGCCAGAUUGGUUAUGUUGCCUUUCAGAGCAUAUGGCAGCCCAGGAAUGAGAAUUACCCCCAUGAUGGAAUACCGUUUGCAAAAGACAACCCAAGGUAUUGCAAAUGGGGUAUUGUUCAGUCAUUUGUAGUAGCCACUUGGUCACAAACACUGGCCAAAGUUAGCGUUCAUAAUUGUUUUUUGCAUUUUUAACACACAAAUAUAAAUGCUAACUUUGGCCAGUAUUUGUGACUAAGUGGCUACUAAAAGACUGGACAUACCCCAUAUUGAAUACCCUGGGUUGUCUACUUAAAAAUAAAAUUAAAAUAAAAUAUGUACAUGUGAGGUGUGAUUCAGAGAUUUGACAGAUAGCAGUGUUACAAUGUCAUAUAUAGAUUAAAAAAGCUGAACCUGCAGAAAUGUAAAAACAGCCCUCGUCCUUAACGGUAAGAAAAUUUAAAAACGGUCUGGUCACUAAGGGGUUAAAGGGACACUAUAGGGUCAGGAAUAUAAACCUGUAUUUAUGGCCUAUACUGAUAAAAUCAGUCUUUAGCCCCAGGCUAAAUAGCUGUAAAACUCCCCUUUACUCCAGCCAUGAACGAUCUGCCGGAGCUGACUUUGCCAUGCCUCCUUAUCUGAGAUCAUCAGAAUUGACAAUCUCUGCCAAUCCAGUGCUUUCCUAUAAGACAUCAAUGCAUUUCUAUUGAGAAAGUUCGUCUCCAUGCAGUGUCAUAUCUUUUGGUCCUUUUGAUAGGCCCACGCAGACAGGGUUCUCUCUCUGAGCUGGUGCUCAUUAAAGAAACACUGUUUUUUGUGUGGCUGCUUUUACUUCCUGGUUCUCCAACAGGCAAAACUGCAUCACACUGUUUUCUUUGCCACCCUGGUAUUUCUGACACAAAAUGUACAAUACUGGUACAUGAGAAUGGAGUCUGGCAGCCUCUUAUAUGACGGUGUUCCUUUGAAGAUAUUCCCAGUUAGAAUUCCUUGUAUUUUUAUUUUAACGUGACAUGAAUAAUUUAUAGAUCACCACGUUAGCCUAUGCUAAAGGCAGGUCCUUUAGUUGCAGAAGAAAUGUUUGACUGUGGUCAGUUUUCCACAUACUUUGCUUCUUAGCAGUGAAAUGAUUUUACAUUUUACUUGAAAACUUAUGUGACAUCUAUAAUGGUUAAAGGAACACUGAAAACUGUAUUCCCAACACUUUUAUCACUGUGCCUAAUUUCAGCAAUGAUGUCCUUCUGCACAGGAUUCCACAACGUCAUGCCUUUUUGAGGAACCUAAUGUGCAUGCGCCACAUGUUUACAACCCCCUUUUGAGAGAAUUUCCCUAUGUUUUUCCAAGCAGAACACAAUGGAGCACUUUGAAUAAAAUGAUUCUGAUAAAUUGAUGAGUCCAAAUACAUCUGUUCCUCUUUUCUAUCGCAAUAUCUCUUUUCUAGGACAUCCUUAUAGGAUAGUGUGUGUUUUGAGUGUAUGACAAAGCUCCGCAGCAAUAAUAUUCACAGUAAUGUGUCUUUAACCCCUUAACGCCGGAGGGCGCACGUACGACCACCUGCAGCCCCCAUGUGAGAGUGAGGUCUUUGCAAGGACCUCACAAUCAUGGCUGCUGCAUUGCCAGCAGGGGGACUGCCUGUAAUGACAGGUAGUCCCCCUGCUGGCUGGAAAUCAAAUAAAAUAAAGUUCAUAAAGUAUAUAAAAAAAAAAAAAAUAAAAAUAAAUAAAUAAUAAAAAAAAAAUAUAUAUAUAUAUAUAUAUAUAUAUACACACACACAUACACUGUCUAGGUGUAUUUUACUAUUAUAUAUAUAUUAUCAAAUUACACGUAGACUGAUACUGAUUAAAUAUAUCAUUAUUGUUAUUUAUAUAUAUAUAUAUAUCUAAUAUAAAAAAAAUGUAAAUACGUUAAAAAAAUAAAAAAUAAUUAAAAAGAAAUAAAAAAUAUAUAGAUGUAUGUUAUUUCGUUCUAACUGUAUUGUGAUAUUAAUAUCUAUAUAUCAAAAUACACGUAGAACAAAAUAGUAUAUAUUUCUAUAUACAUAGAUAUAUACAUAUAUCACUAUAUAUACCUAUAUAUAAAUAAAAAUAUUAAAAAAAUUAUAUAUAUUCUACAUAUAUAUUUAUGUAAUAUUUUUACAUAAUUAGGUAUCUUAAUUAAUUAAAUUUAGCGGGACCUGCCUGACAACCCAUGCCGAGAGUAAAGGGAAUUUAAUUUGCUAGCACUAUAUUUAACCCUAUAACUUUCCAAGACUCCAUAAAACCUGUACAUGGGGGGGUACUGUUCUACUCGGGAGACUUCGUUGAACACAAAUAUUAGUGUUUCAAAACAGUAAAAUGUAUUACGAUGAUAUCGCCAGUAAAAGUGAAGGUUUUUUUGCAUUUUUCACGCACAAACAGCACUUACACGGACGAUAUUAUUGCUGUGAUACUUUUUACUGUUUUAAAACACAAAUAUUUGUGUUCAGCAAAGUCUCCCGAGUAAAACAGUACCACUCAUGUAUAGGUUUUAUGGUGUUUUCAAAAGUUACAGCGUCAAAUAUAAGGCUUGUUUCAUUUUUUUCACAUUAAAAUUUGCCAGAUUGGUUGGGUUGCCUUUGAGACCCUAUUGUAGCCCAAGAAUGAAAAUUACCCCUAUGAUGGCAUACCAUUUGAAAAAGAAGACAACCCAAGGUAUUGCAAACGGGGUAUGUCCAGUCUUUUUUAGUAGCCACAAACACUGGCCAAAGUUAGCGUUCAUAUUACCGGUAUUUUUUUGCAUUUUUCACACACAAACAAAUACUAACGCUAACUUUGGCCAGUGUUUGUGACCAAAUGGCUACUAAAAAAGACUGGACAUACCCCAUUUGCAAUACCUUGGGUUGUCUACUAUUACAAAUGGUAUGCCAUUAUGGGUGUAAAUUUCAUUCCUGGGCUACUAUACAGUCUCAAAGGCAACAAAACCUAUCUGGCGAAUUUCAAUUUCAAAUGUAACGUGCUAAGUUUGACCCUGUAACUUCCCAAAAUGCCAUAAAACCUGUACAUAGGGGGUACUGUUUUACACGUGAGACUUUGCUGAAUACAAAUAUAUGUAUUUUAUUGCAGUAAAAGCAAACAGUAUUAUGACAUUGACAGUUAAAAUGUCAUGUAGAACUAAAAAAAUAAACAAUAAAUUCUUAUUUUCUCCCAUUUUUGUUUCAUAUUAAAUUGUUUCACAGCUAAAUAUUUGAUAUUAAAUGAAAGCCCUGUUUCCCCUGAAUAAAAUGAUAUAUAAUAAGAGUGGGUGCAUUUACUAUGAAAGAGGUGAAUUACGGUUGGACAGACAUGUAGCGCAAAUGCCAGGUUUUGUUUUGUUCACAACAUGUACAUUUGGCUCCGUCCUUAAGGGGUUAAUGGGACACUAAUGUCACGAUACAACUUUAUCUUAAUAAAGCAGUUUUAGUGUAUAGAUCAUGCCUCUGCAGUCUCACUGCUUAAACUUUUGCCAAUAAGGAAUUAAAUCACUUUUAUACAGCCCUAGUUACACCUCCCUGCAUGCGACUUGCACAGCCUUCCAACCACUUCCUGUAAACUAAUGUUUACACUUCUUGUAUUGAAAAUACUGUCUAAUUUAGAAUGUAUUAUCUCUCCUGUUCUGUUAGUAGCUUGCUAGACAAUGCAGAAGCCUCCUGUAUGUAAUUAAAAAUUUACAGAGCAGGAGAUAACUUUUAAAGUAAGCUACAUCUGAUAAAAUAUAUAUUUUUUUUUUUAUUUUUUUUUUUAUUGAGGUAUAAAAUUUACGGGUACAGAAUAAAGAAAGGGAGACAAUCAAAAGUCAUACAGGAUGGGGUAUCACAGUUCACUAUACAUCAUCUCCGAAAAUUGUCGGCCUCUUUUUUUUUUUUUUUUAUUUAUUUUUUUUAAAGUGUAUUAAAGGCGUUGUAUAGCAUUAGGUGUCUGCAUGCUUAGUGUCGAGGUAUAACUUGUAGUAGGAAUUAAGGCACCUCUAAAUGUGCGAGUGUUGAGCGUGGGACCUUAGGUAGGUGAGCUUGGGUAGGUAUGUGUGUCGUAGCUGGGUGUGGUCGACUGAGUUGCUAGCUGAGAGUGCAGCAGGUAAUGUGCGGUAUAUUUCUAGCUGUGUAACGCACUCUGGGUGUGAGGAGGGGGGGUGAAAGUGGCUUAAUGCGUAUUAUUAUUAUGAAGGCUUACGAAGCCAGUAUUGUGUGGGUUUGGGAAGAGCAUAGUGUAAAAAAGCAGCAUAUGGUGGAGAGAAAAAAGAGACUAAAAACAGAAAUAAAAAACAUAAACCAACAGCAUCGGCAUUGGAAAUAACAAAGAACAAACGUGGAACGGAUCAGGUAUGUCUCCUGUCAGGUGCAACAGGUAAAGGGCGUGUGGGCCCUGCUCUGCUGCUGCUUCAGGAUGGUAGGGCAGUGGUUUUCUGAGCCUCUCUUCUAGGCACGAAGGGGGUAAUCUCCGCUACAGUCCAUGUUGGACGGGUCAGCUGCUGUGUUGUUAGCGCUGGAAGGCCGAGUGCCUGCAGGAAGGCUGGUAUAUCAGAUGCGUGGGACAGCUUAUGUGUUUCGCCCGCCUUUUCUGCCUGUAGUCAGCGUGGGCCAUUUGUAGGGGAUGGCUUGUUCCCGGAGUAGCUGGGUGACUGGGCGAAAGGACUCCCUCAACAUCAUGGUGUUCCUGGAGAAGUCUUUAUAGAACGUUAGUUGUGCCCCUUCAAACGCCACCGUGGGGGAGUCUCUUGAAGCCCCCAUAAUCAUGCCCCUGUCAGAGUCCCGUAUAAGUUUAAUCAGUACGUCACCAGUUCCUUCGCGUGCUGUGGAGGCCGCCCUGGUGAUUCUGAAACAAGAGUCUAUUGUGAUCAACUUAACCACUCUACUUACGCCAAGAAGAGCUAUCAGCCGUCGGCAAUAGUGCGGCAAUUCCGCGCCGGUGAGUGUCUCCGGCACUCCACGGACCCGCAGGUUUCUUGCCUUGUACCGGUCCUCCAUGCCAGCCAGUUGGGUUUGUUGGUCCGCGUAUUGCUUGCGGAGUAAGUUCAGCGCCGCGUCUGUGGCACUUUGCGCCAGUUUAGUGUCCCCCAGGUCCUCCUCCACAUUUGCCACUUUAUUGGUGAGUGUGGCUACGUCUGCCUUUACCCGCGCCAUGUCUGCUUGGAACAUGGCCUGAAUGUCCUUCACCAAAGCUUUGAUAUCCGCCUUGGUGGCUGGAGCAGAGUCCCCCAUGUCUACGGUCUCUGUGGCAGUUGUUGCGCGCGGGUCAGCAGUGCAGGCUCUGCACAGUAGCUGUCCUCGUCCGAGGAUUGUGAGGCAUAGAUCUCGGGCGCCAUCUUAGCCUCAGCAGGCCGCGAUGCGGCUCGGAGAAAAGCCCCUAUAUCUCUGGAUCCCGUGCCCGGAUCCGCCCUCUGCUUCUUGCUCUUUUUCCCCAUAUUGUCAGUAAGCUGUGAACCGGUUUAGGGGCCCGGUGUGUGCGGGGAUUCUGGCUCCGAGCGAGUUAAUUGACCGUGUCGCACGGAGCUGUCUGAGGAUGCGGCCGGUUAGCUCGGGUGCUGGCUCCGCCCUGAUUAAAAGUUUAAAAAGUCAUGCAGACUGUGCAAGUCAGACAGGGGAGGUGUGGCUAGGGCUGCAUAAGCAGAAAGAAAAUUGGUUUAACUCCUAAAUGGCAGAGAAUUGACCAGUGAGACCGCAGGAGCAUGAUCUAUACACCAAAACUUCAUUACACUAAAGUUGUUUUAGUGACUAGCAUUCUUCUACAUUGUUUUUGUUCAAAUAUUGUAGUUGCAAACAUUAAGUCACAUAAAAUUUCUUAGAACAGCUUUGCCCAUGGCCACACCAACAAUACCGAAAAAUGCAAGUGUACCUCUUUGUCUAUUUGAAAUGUUGAUAGGUAUGAAUAUACUGCAAUGAUAUUUUUAUACAUUUUCUUUUAUCUAUAUCCUUCAAAUCCAAGUACUUGUGCGUGGUGUAUUUUCACUCUAAAAUAGAUCCUAUCUCAUCCAAUAGGUUACUUCACAGAUUUCUGUGAUGGACAAGGUGCAACGACCUAACGCGCAUCAAUAGCUCUAUUCCUAAAUAAUUUUGUAUUUGGAAAUUUGGAACUUCGCAUGGGAUAGCAAUUUAUCCACUUAGUGCCGCGUUAAGACUAAGGUAAUAUCAGCCUGUCAUUAACGCAUCAGUUUUUUUUUUUUUUUUUUAACCCCCACUCCCGACUACAAUACAUUUUAUUUUCCCCCUAGUUAUACCCAAAUGGCCCCCCAUUUUACCUUUUUUUUAAAACUUUAUUUAAUGUGCGGACUUAGGUCCUGGGCGUCGCCAUCUUUAUGUGGGCAGCCCUGUGGGAUAUGUCAUCUGCCCACACAAGAUAGCGCUCUGAAAUUCCUGCGCAUGCCCAGUUAAAUACACAGACACCCACGCACUCAGACACGCUCUCAUACUUUAUUGCUCCAUACCUUUUGGAGCUGAUGUGGGGCAUCUCCCUGGGGUCCUUCUAUUUGCUUCUUUGCGUGAUUUAGUGAUGCCCGGCCUCACGACAGACUGCUCGCGAGGGAGCAGUGAGGAGCAGGUACACUGAGCUCCCUCGCUGGCCAUCCUCCCCGGCCGGGUAAGUUUUGGCAAUGUGGGGAAAGCAGGUGCCUACUCUGCUAUAACACAGAGCAUGUACUCGCGGCUCACCGGGCCGUGAGUUUGACAUGCUUGGCAUAGAGGAUCAGCAUCGCUACCCCAAAAUAUCUUUAAAGGCAUGGAGACCUACCAAUGCUGAAAGUAUGCAGUUGCCUGAUCCCGAUUUACACUCUCUGGCAGCCGCAUAUAUAAGCCUUGAGUCCACUCCUGCAAAAAGCUGUUGCUCUCAAACUAGACUUGGGAUGCUCAAGGCAUUACUGGGCCAAUGUCACUCCAUGCUAGACCUGAACUGCCAUUGGCAAUAAACAAGUAGAUGUUUUGAACCUUAUCAAUAUUAUUGAAUUAUUUGGAAAAAAAUAUCUGACUAGUUCCAAGUUCUAACAGUUUCCAUUAUUCCUAAAAAUAUUACUGCCACUCAAUUUCAGCACUGAAAAUGCUAAAUGUCCCUUUAAUUGUCCCAGAACUUACUCUUAAACGUGGGAGUCAAUGUGUUUGUAGUUAAGAUGCAAGUGCUUUUGCAUUUGUAGUACAGAUGCAUUCAUGACACAUCAGGAUGAUUUUUAAUGAUGUAUUAUAGGUGUCAGGAGUUUCCAUUUAAUAUUUUUAAUACCAUUUGAUAUGCGAGAUUGCUGAAAAUGUGUACGUUAUGGCUUUGUAAAUUGCACGGUAAUGCAGUUCAAUUUUUAAAAAGCCUUUUUUUUGUUUGUGUGUGAAUUUUUGCUCUCUGGCUAAUUCACUCUGUUUAAUCAAAAAUCAUCAGCCCUAGACUCUGACCCCUUUCAGCUAACUACUUUAUGAAUUUGAUCCUGUGCAAUUUAGCUGCUCUAUUCCUCUGAGAAUUUGAAAGCCGGAAACACAGUAAUUUCAGAAUGCGCUGAUUCAGAGUUUAGAAAGACAAAAUUUAUAUUGCCAUGCAUAACAAAUUGAAAGCAGCAGUUCACAGUCUCUUGGGCAACUGUCGUAGAUGCAUUUUGUCAUUUUACACUAAAGAUUAAGCUUUCAUUCUAUACAUUAGGUCAGGGCUCGCCAAAUCCCAGGUUGCCAUGGCCACUAGGAUUUUAGUCCUGGUGCCUGGGAUUUGUUGACCCAUUCAGCCCCUAAGGUGGUCGGCCACCUAUGAGUGAAGACGGGCGGGGGUGGCUGGCAGCUCAUAAAGAGCAUGGGCAAGUGCCCGGCUAAAAAGAGAGCAUUUGUAGUCGGCCGGCCAGCCAGCUGAUGGAGGACGUGUGAGUGCGGUCAGUUAUCCUUCUUAGGGAGAGCGUGCGGGAGGCUUCUAGAAGAUUGAGGCAACUGUAACCCCCCUCCCUGCUAUGCUCUCUCGCACGUCCUCCAGUGAUGCCAGAGCCUGACUAUGAUGGCAUCACUAAACAGCGCUCUAUGGAGCAGAGCAGGGAGAUGACUGCUGAAGCCCCACUGGACCACAGGGAAAGCCAAACCACUCCAGUUCCAGGUAUUGAGACUGGGUGGUCACCUUAUUUGUAUAAUUAAUGUGUUAUUGCAGUGACUGAGAAUGUAAGUGUGUGUGUGUGUACCAGUGAGUGAAUGUGUGUUUAGGUGACAGGUCCCCCUCCUAUCACAUGGGUAAGGAAUUUUUACUCUUUUUUUUUUUUUUUUUUGCAGUGCAUACGGUAGUUACAUACAAGUCGGAGGUACCCCAACGGCAAUCCUCUGGCCCCAUAUCAAGCGUUACAUUUGAGGAGUGAAC
rnacentral:lncRNA from 1 species